UGCGUAGGCGGCGUUGUAAGUCAGAGGUGAAAGCCCACAGCUUAACUGUGGAAUUGCCUUUGAUACUGCAGUGCUUGAAUCAGGUUGAGGUCGGCGGAAUGUGACAUGUAGCGGUGAAAUGCAUAGAUAUGUCAUAGAACACCAAUUGCGAAGGCAGCUGGCUAGACCUGUAUUGACGCUGAGGCACGAAAGCGUGGGGAGCGAACAGGAUUAGAUACCCUGGUAGUCC
rnacentral:rRNA from 1 species